UUCUUUUUCUAUUCACACAUGUCAGAUAGAGACAUGCGUGUUGUAAAUUAUUUUGUCAGAAUGAAAGGCUGGCAGAUUAAAUGAUUUCUUCUCUUUUUGCUGUACUUGAUAUCGAUCUCUUGUUCAUUUCUUGAUAAUAUGUUUGGUUAUUUUUGUUUUCAUUGCUUUUAGUGUCAGAGAUGGCUUUGGAUUCCCCAUUCUGUGUGCUCCUGUCUGGCUCCUGAACCCAGCUGGAGAGGUGUGUCAAUCCCAACUGGUGAAGUACUGAGAGGAAGCUACACAAAAGGCAGCAAGGUGUUAGUGAGUGGUGUCAUUGAGCAAACACAAAGUCGGGCUCAUCCAAGGAUGAGAUUUUGCCAGAGAAAGGACGAGCAGCAAGUCAGGGAGCUUAAGGUAAUUAUGAGAAAGUGACUAUCUAAAAUUGCUUAGGUAGAAGGAGACAGAUUGGAUUUUUGUGUGUUUGGUAUUUGGGAUAAGAGGGA
rnacentral:lncRNA from 1 species